rnacentral:tRNA from 1 species
GGAGGGCAGAGCUCGGUGGCAGGGUGUGUGCUUAGCAUGCACAAGGCCCUGGGUUCAAUCCCCAGGACCGCCA